rnacentral:rRNA from 1 species
UACGUAGGGGGCUAGCGUUGUCCGGAAUCAUUGGGCGUAAAGCGCGUGUAGGCGGUCCGGUAAGUCCGCUGUGAAAGUCGAGGGCUCAACCCUCGAAUGCCGGUGGAUACUGUCGGGCUUGAGUACGGGAGAGGCGAGUGGAAUUCCUGGUGUAGCGGUGAAAUGCGCAGAUAUCAGGAGGAACACCGAUUGCGAAGGCAGCUCGCUGGAACGUUACUGACGCUGAGACGCGAGAGCGUGGGGAGCAAACAGG